rnacentral:rRNA from 1 species
UGCAAGUCGAACGAAGUAGCAAUACUUAGUGGCAGACGGGUGAGUAACAUGUAGGUAUCUACCCUAUGGCCUGGAAUAACACGAGGAAACUUGUGCUAAUACCGGAUAAGUCUUUACAGAGAAAGCUUUAUGCACCAUUGGAUGAGCCUGCACUUGAUUAGUUAGUUGGUAGGGUAAAAGCCUACCAAGACUUUGAUCAAUGGCUGAUUUGAGAGGAUGAUCAGCCACAUUGGGACUGAGACACGGCCCAAACUCCUACGGGAGGCAGCAGUGGGGAAUCUUGCACAAUGGAGGAAACUCUGAUGCAGCGAUGCCGCGUGAGUGAAGAAGGCCCUUGGGUUGUAAAGCUCUUUCGUCGGGGAAGAAAAUGACUGUACCCGAAUAAGAAGGUCCGGCUAACUUCGUGCCAGCAGCCGCGGUAAUACGAAGGGACCUAGCGUAGUUCGGAAUUACUGGGCUUAAAGAGUUCGUAGGUUGUUGAAAAAGUUGGUGGUGAAAUCCCAGAGCUUAACUCUGGAACUGCCAUCAAAACUUUUCAGCUAGAGUUUGAUAGAGGAAAGCAGAAUUUCUAGUGUAGAGGUGAAAUUCGUAGAUAUUAGAAAGAAUACCAAUUGCGAAGGCAGCUUUCUGGAUCAUUACUGACACUGAGGAACGAAAGCAUGGGUAGCGAAGAGGAUUAGAUACCCUCGUAGUCCAUGCCGUAAACGAUGUGUGUUAGACGUUGGAAAUUUAUUUUCAGUGUCGCAGCGAAAGCGAUAAACACACCGCCUGGGGAGUACGACCGCAAGGUUAA